rnacentral:miRNA from 1 species
AAUCUCAUCAACCAGAAGGGAUUCCUUCCGGUUGAUGAGGUAUAACAAACUCAUUGACCAGCAGGAAUCCCUUCCGGUUGAUGAGAUU